AUUCUUGUGCCUCAGCCUCCCGAGUAGCUGGGAUUACAGCUUGUUACCCAAAAUUCAUAAGCAGCCUGAGAUAAAUAAAUGUGCUGGAUGCCCCAUAGUCAGGGAAGCAGACAAGAUAAAGGAUGGCCAACAGGCAGAUAAUGAGAGAAGAAAUCCAGGGCUCUUCAAACCUGCAUUGAAACCGAAAGAACCUUUUUAGUCCACCAAAAAGAACUGCGUAUUACCACCUUCAUUCAAUGCAAGAGCCAGCUGAGGUGAAGUCGCCAGAGGCCAAGGACAGAAGCCGGGAGUAAAGCAUCACCACACAGCCUUCAAUCACCAACGGUUUUGAAUUGUUUGAUCAGGCCAUUUCUUAUGGCCUUUUCAUCUAUCAUUUUUAUGCCUCUCUGUUUCUUUUUUCAAGAUUUUGUUUUUGUGUAAUGUUGCUGGGUGUUCUGUCCUCGAUUUCCUUGUCACACAAGUGAAGGAAGUGUUCCAUCUGAUAUGAAGCCACAUGUCAGCACCUGUUUUCUGGACUGAUUUGUUCAUCAUUUUCAUUUCUGUUUGCCAACACUGCAGGGUCUUUUCUGUCAA
rnacentral:lncRNA from 1 species